AAUGAACGUUGGCGGCAUGGAUUAGGCAUGCAAGUCGAGCGAGAAGUGUAGCAAUACACGGAAAGCGGCGGAAGGGAGAGUAAUACGUGGGAAUCUGCCCUUAGACCUGGGAUAGCAGCGGGAAACUGCUGGUAAUACCAGAUAAUGUCUAUGGACCAAAGGUGUGAUUCCGUCUAGGGAUGAGCCCACGUCCUAUUAGCUAGUUGGUAGGGUAAUGGCAUACCAAGGCGAUGAUGGGUAGCGGGUGUGGGUGCAUGACCCGCCUCACUGGGACUGAGACACUGCCCAGACGCCUACGGGUGGCUGGAGUCGAGAAUGUUCGGCAAUGGGCGCAAGCCUGACCGAGCGAUGCCGCGUGCGGGAUGAAGGCCUUCGGGUUGUAAACCGCUGUCGAGGGGGAGCAACUUCCAUAGAGUUAUCUUUAUGGAUUGAGUGAUCCCUGGAGGAAGGACGGGCUAAGUUCGUGCCAGCCGCCGCGGUAAAAC
rnacentral:rRNA from 1 species